rnacentral:rRNA from 1 species
GACAGAGGGUGCAAACGUUGCUCGGAAUUACUGGGCGUAAAGCGCGUGUAGGCGGUCUCGCGAGUCGGGUGUGAAAGCCCGGGGCUCAACCCCGGACGUGCAUUCGAUACUACGAGGCUGGAGUACUGUAGAGGAGAGCGGAGUUCCCGGUGUAGCGGUGAAAUGCGUAGAUAUCGGGAGGAACACCGGUGGCGAAGGCGGCUCACUGGCUCGUUACUGACGCUCAGGCACGACAGCGUGGGGAUCAAACAGG